UUUAAUUGACGAGCUCCUUCAGGUUAAUCAUUAAAAUCACCUGCUUUAGUGAAAACAUGUAGUGUUUGGGCCCUCCAUGGCAUGAGUUUGAAAGUCAAGAAAUAAAUUACCAGCAAAAGAUUUGAGUCAGGACGUGGAUAGUCUUUACCCACGAUGCACCCCGCCGCUUGCUGCACGCUACGUGGUGCCUUCCAAGGCUCGUAGAUGUACUGAGCGGGGAACUUCUUCAAAAUGGGAAGUCAUACUUGAUGUAGUCGCCGUUUUUGUCAGUCUUCUUGCCAAAGGCCACAGGAGAGUAGACUCUGAAGAACUGGUGGAAGAAGGUGCUCGCUGACAGCCACUGCCAGUUCCCGGCAUUGAGAGCCCAGUCGCCGUCUAACAGGAGCUCCUCAAACACCUUCAAGGCUGAUCCACAGGUCUCCUCUGGUGAGGAAGCAGGCCACAGCGUGUCUCGCCAGGUGAUGGAUCCAUCCUUCUCGUCUCAGCUGAGUCAUAAUGGCAUCAAUGAAGGGGAAACCGGUUCGAGCCUUACCCAAACACAGUAUUGGUUCACUCUCAUGUUUUAGAAACAAGGCGAUGAUGAUUAUGGUACCUCUCUCCAGGCCGCUAGGUAUUCACGGUUUGUAUCCCAGUCCACUUGAGUGCACACGGGGUUGCCCUCCAUCUUGUUAAAAUUGGGGACUCCCACGCUGGCGGUGUAGAAGAACUCUCUCCACAGUAAUUGACCAUGAAGGGACACUGGUGGGUCUGAAUGCUUUUUCUAACAACGAAGAAGACCAAUGUCAGGGAGCUCCGCGACCCUUGAAAAGUCCAGCAUUCACGACUACCAUCACAAUACUCACCCCUUGGUAGACCUCGGUCAGCUUCCACCAGAAGGUUCGUGCAGACAGGCACCCGAAGGUGACAUAGGGGCUGAGGACUGUGGUGCUCGGGCUCAGAGAGUUGGGAGAGGUCUGAGGUUUUUCAAAGGUGCAUACCCAUCCCUUUAAGAGAUAAAGAUACAUAUUUAUUAUAUGCCAACAGUAAUGUGUGGUAGCUCUCAAGCGACAAUAAAGUCAU